rnacentral:rRNA from 1 species
GUUGAUAAGGUUAAGUGAAUAAGGGCGCACGGUGGAUGCCUUGGCACUAGGAGCCGAUGAAGGACGGGACUAACACCGAUAUGCUUUGGGGAGCUGUACGUAAGCUAUGAUCCAGAGAUUUCCGAAUGGGGGAACCCAACAUCUUUAAUAGGAUGUUACGAUUGUGUGAAUACAUAGCACAUUCGAGGUAGACGCAGAGAACUGAAACAUCUAAGUACCUGCAGGAAGAGAAAGAAAAUUCGAUUCCCUGAGUAGCGGCGAGCGAAACGGGAAAAGCCCAAACCAGCAAGCUUGCUUGUUGGGGUUGUAGGACUCCAAUAUGGUAGUUCUUUCAGAUAGUCGAAUGACUUGGAAAAGUCAGUCAAAGAGGGUAAAAACCCCGUAGACGAAAUGUGGAAGACACCUAGGAGGAUCCUGAGUACGGCGGAACACGAGAAAUUCCGUCGGAAUCCGGGAGGACCAUCUCCCAAGGCUAAAUACUCCCUAGUGACCGAUAGUGAACCAGUACCGUGAGGGAAAGGUGAAAAGCACCCCGGAAGGGGAGUGAAAUAGAACCUGAAACCGUGUGCCUACAACAAGUCAAAGCCCGUUAAUGGGUGAUGGCGUGCCUUUUGUAGAAUGAACCGGCGAGUUACGAUUGCAUGCGAGGUUAAGUUGAAGAGACGGAGCCGCAGCGAAAGCGAGUCUGAAUAGGGCGUUUGAGUAUGUAGUCGUAGACCCGAAACCAUGUGAUCUACCCAUGUCCAGGUUGAAGGUGCGGUAAAACGCACUGGAGGACCGAACCCACGUACGUUGAAAAGUGCGGGGAUGAGGUGUGGGUAGCGGAGAAAUUCCAAACGAACUUGGAGAUAGCUGGUUCUCUCCGAAAUAGCUUUAGGGCUAGCCUCGGAAUUGAGAAUGAUGGAGGUAGAGCACUGUUUGGACUAGGGGCCCAUCUCGGGUUACCGAAUUCAGAUAAACUCCGAAUGCCAUUCAUUCAUAUCCGGGAGUCAGACUGUGAGUGAUAAGAUCCAUAGUCGAAAGGGAAACAGCCCAGACCACCAGCUAAGGUCCCAAAAUAUAUGUUAAGUGGAAAAGGAUGUGGGGUUGCACAGACAACUAGGAUGUUGGCUUAGAAGCAGCCACCAUUUAAAGAGUGCGUAAUAGCUCACUAGUCGAGUGACCCUGCGCCGAAAAUGUACCGGGGCUAAACAUAUUACCGAAGCUGUGGAGUACACCUUUAGGUGUAUUGGUAGGAGAGCGUUCUAAGGGCGUUGAAGGCAGAUCGUGAGGACUGCUGGAGCGCUUAGAAGUGAGAAUGCCGGUAUGAGUAGCGAAAGACAGGUGAGAAUCCUGUCCACCGAAUGACUAAGGUUUCCUGGGGAAGGCUCGUCCGCCCAGGGUUAGUCGGGACCUAAGCCGAGGCCGACAGGCGUAGGCGAUGGAUAACAGGUUGAUAUUCCUGUACCCGUUGUUUUUGUUUGAGCAAUGGAGGGACGCAGGAGGCUAAGGAAUGCAGACGAUCGGAAAUGUCUGUCCAAGCAGUAAGUCUGAAGAGGAGUCAAAUGCUUCUUUUCUUAAGGACAAGCUGUGAUGGGGAGGGAAAUAAUAGUACCGAAGUUCCUGAUGUCACACUGCCGAGAAAAGCUUCUAGUGAGAAAACAGCGGCCCGUACCGCAAACCGACACAGGUAGUCGAGGAGAGAAUCCUAAGGUGAGCGAGAGAACUCUCGUUAAGGAACUCGGCAAAAUGACCCCGUAACUUCGGGAGAAGGGGUGCUGAUCAUACGAUCAGCCGCAGUGAAUAGGCCCAAGCGACUGUUUAUCAAAAACACAGG